rnacentral:rRNA from 1 species
AUGGAGGCAUAUUCCACACCUAAGCCACAUUUGCAAGGGACAAAAUUUGACACCAUGGAGAGCGCACAUGACCACUACAGCACCUACGCGCGCAGAACUGGCUUUGCAAUUAGGCAACAAUUCAAGAAAGAGAGGGUUGAUGGAACUAUAAGCAGGGUGCUACUAGUUUGUAUAAAAUAUGGCAAACGACGCAAGGACAGGGAUGAGCUGCAAGAUGUGGAAAACCCAGACAGCAUUGUCAAGAAGAGGAAAAAAGUUGUUAGGACUGAAUGUGAAGCGCACAUGUACCUAUCCCACGAUGAUGCAUGGUGGACUGUUGACCGUUUCUAGGACACCCACAAUCACCCCCUGAUCAAAAAGCCUUCCCUAACAAAAAAUUUAUCAUCGCAUCGGUACAUUCCGAAGGAGGAGCAGAACUUCUUGAGGGUUCUGCACGGAUGCAACGUUGAGACUGUGAGGCAGAUGCAGCUGAUGUCAUGGUUCUACGGGAGCGCUAAAGACGUACCCUACACGACACAAGACAUUGCUAAUCAAAGAGCUAAGUUCCGCUUAGAGCACCGCCACAAGGACGUUGGGAGCACAAUUGCAUACUUCCAAGAGAUGAGGGUCAAAGAUUCAUAUUUUUACUGGAGAAUCAAACUUGAUGAUGAGGACAGGGUUGAGAACUUGAUCGACAAUGAACAUUUUCAAUGGUUGUGGGAAAAUAGGAAAUGUUGGGCCCCAGUGUACUACAUGAAGCAUUUCUUUCCAUUCUUGCAGACAACUGCAAGGAGCGAGGGAUUCAAUGUUGUGCUCACGAAGUACGUGAACCCCAACAACUCAUUGACUGAAUUCGCAACUCAAUACACUGCAAUCCAGGAGAAAGUAAUGGUGGUUGUGGCGAAAGAGCAAGUGGACACAAUUUACAAAGAGGCAGGCAUGUAUUCGUUGAACCCAAUCGAGUUACAGAUGCGAGGGAUAUACACACAAAAUCUGUUCUCCAAGUUCCAGGUAUAGAUGAAGCUAAAGACUGCUUACGGAUGCGACACUUUGCAAGAUGGAACCGUCAGGAUGUGGUCGCUCCGAGGCAUACUACCAAAGUAUAGGGAUAGUGACUACCAUGUGCAGGCGAACAAGGAUGAAGGGGUAUACUCAUGCACUUGCUGCAAGUUUGAUCGCGAUAGGCUAUUAUGCGCACACAUACUGCGAGUAAUGGAACAGAUUGGAGUCUACGAGAUACCAAGGAGGUAUAUCCUGGAUAGGUGGACAUGGGAUCCAGAAGAGGAUCUUGUUCAGCCUGAUUACCAACAGCCAACAGUUAAGAAGGGUAUGACAGAGGAAAAAAAUAUCAUGAGAUAUACAUCUAUUCUGAAUGAUUUCAAGGAACAAGCAAAAGACGCUUGCACUACUGAUGAAGGGAUGGCAUUGGCAAGGAAACAUGUUAAUGCUUUCAAAGACGACAUGGAUGCACUAAAAAAGAGGCAGCUAAAGAAAGUAAGAAAGGAAAAAAGAUGA